rnacentral:rRNA from 1 species
GACGAACGCUGGCGGCGUGCCUAAUACAUGCAAGUAGAACGCUGAAGAGAGGAGCUUGCUCUUCUUGGAUGAGUUGCGAACGGGUGAGUAACGCGUAGGUAACCUGCCUUGUAGCGGGGGAUAACUAUUGGAAACGAUAGCUAAUACCGCAUAACAAUGGAUGACACAUGUCAUUUAUUUGAAAGGGGCAAUUGCUCCACUACAAGAUGGACCUGCGUUGUAUUAGCUAGUAGGUGAGGUAAUGGCUCACCUAGGCGACGAUACAUAGCCGACCUGAGAGGGUGAUCGGCCACACUGGGACUGAGACACGGCCCAGACUCCUACGGGAGGCAGCAGUAGGGAAUCUUCGGCAAUGGGGGCAACCCUGACCGAGCAACGCCGCGUGAGUGAAGAAGGUUUUCGGAUCGUAAAGUUCUGUUGUAAGUCAAGAACGGGUGUGAGAGUGGAAAGUUCACACUGUGACGGUAGCUUACCAGAAAGGGACGGCUAACUACGUG